rnacentral:rRNA from 1 species
CCCUUAGAUGUUCUGGGCCGCACGCGCGCUACACUGAUUCAUGCAACAAGUUUUGUCCUUGGCUGAUAGGCCUGGGUAAUCUUUGAACGUGAAUCGUGAUGGGGAUAGAUGAUUGCAAUUAUUCAUCUUCAACGAGGAAUUCCUAGUAAACGCAAGUCAUCAGCUUGCAUUGAUUACGUCCCUGCCCUUUGUACACACCGCCCGUCGCACCUACCGAUUGAAUGGUCCGGUGAAAUCUUCGGAUCUGAGAGAUGUCUGAUUAAUUUCGGACGCCUUUUGGAAAAGUUGUUUAAACCUUACCACUUAGAGGAAGGAGAAGUCGUAACA